CUUGCUCCGCUGACGAGUGGCGAACGGGUGAGUAAUGCAUCGGAACGUACCCAGUCGUGGGGAUAACGUAGCGAAAGUUACGCUAAUACCGCAUACGUCCUGAGGGAGAAAGCGGGGGGACCGUAAGGCCUCGCGCGAUUGGAGCGGCCGAUGUCGGAUUAGCUAGUUGGUAGGGUAAAGGCCUACCAAGGCGACGAUCCGUAGCGGGUCUGAGAGGAUGAUCCGCCACACUGGGACUGAGACACGGCCCAGACUCCUACGGGAGGCAGCAGUGGGGAAUUUUGGACAAUGGGCGAAAGCCUGAUCCAGCCAUGCCGCGUGAGUGAAGAAGGCCUUCGGGUUGUAAAAGCUCUUUCAGCCGGAAAGAAAUCGCGCAGGAUAAUACUCUGCGUGGAUGACGGUACCGGAAGAAGAAGCACCGGCUAACUACGUGCCAGCAGCCGCGGUAAUACGUAGGGUGCGAGCGUUAAUCGGAAUUACUGGGCGUAAAGCGUGCGCAGGCGGUUAUGUAAGACAGAUGUGAAAUCCCCGGGC
rnacentral:rRNA from 1 species